CAAAGUUUCAGUGCAUUCCGUUGAUGUAGACGGCGUGAAAACGGAAACAACAAGUAUGCCGGCUCACUGUGCUGCAUACAGUUACACACUACGUCAUACGAUUGAGACAAGGAAACUUGGAAUGAAUUUUCAUAGGUUUCCCAGAGACUAUGGGUUGAGGAGGAAUUGGAAGUUUGUCAGCUUAGACCUGGUGUCAUUCCAUCAGUGUUAAACUUCCCGGCUCAUCUUGGAAGAGUACGUGCCAGAAAGACCACGACCAAGUAGCCUUGAGAUCUUAGACAGCGUCUCCCUGAGGUCCCUCUCUAUCUCCCCACACAUCCACCAACCACUGGAACACAUCUCCAAAGUUCUGCCGGGCCAGCUCUGCUUCUCCUCAGAAGAAGUGCCGCCACCUGCCAGAUGAAGGAGCCUUUUGAGAGGCAGCUGGCAUCGUGAUUGGACUGUACUUUGGUCUGUUCCAAUCCAGCUUCAGCUCCAGAGACGGCAGGCGGGACGAGUCAACGGAGGCCGGGUGGACGAAGACAUGCAGCUGAGUACAAUCCAGAAAACAACAGAGGAGGAGUGCAGUGACCCAGGGCCAGAACAAACAGAACCAAAGAACUACAGACUCUUCACAACCUGCUCAAACUCUUGGUACAGGACCUCACCACACGGGUCAAGAAGGUUUCCGUCUCAUUUCUACUCUGAAGCUCACCUUCUCCUGCUCAAACUGCUGACAAAUGUUUCUGCUGCUCUACAGUCUGGUCUCCAGAACUUCCUAAAAACUCUCAAAGUCUUUUCUGCUGCAGGUUGCUAUGUAGAACUGUUCCAGAAAACCUCACUAAACCACAUGGAGGGGCCUCAAGAUAGUCGUCCAAAUGAAACCUUACAAAAACCAAACUAGCACAACCCAAAUGCUAAAGUCUCCUGCAGCCUACCAGAGAACCUCUGAGAACAGAGAAUCAGGACAGGAACUCUUACCUUCUGGACAACCAACCUUGGUUCACAAACAAGAAUAGAGAUGGUGUCUGAUCAAAAACCUCUGAAGACUCACUACAGCCAAGAUAAAGACACAACUCAGC
ensembl:lncRNA